rnacentral:tRNA from 1 species
GAGAUAUUAGUAAAACCUUACAUAACUUUGUCAAAGUUAAGUUACAAGUGAGAAUCCUGUAUAUCUCC